GUGAGUCAUCGAAUCUUUGAACGCAUAUUGCGCUCUCUGGCUCUCCAGAGAGCAUGCCUGUUUGAGUAUCAGUUUAAUCUCAUAAACCCAUUUGGGUGUAUGGAUCUGAGCAAUCCGUUAGCGUAGAGUCGUUUAUUCGACAAUGCGAUUACAUGCGGUUGCUUGAAAUGUAUGGCAAGCGGUACUGACCACUGCUUAAGAUGGCUAGGCGUAUUAGUUUCUCAUUAUGGGAAUCCACUCUUGCGCCGGUGUAUACGGCCCCUUAAGCCUCGUGCUGGUUGAUCGUUUUGCUCUAUAUAA
rnacentral:misc_RNA from 1 species